rnacentral:rRNA from 1 species
GUGAGGAAUAUUGGUCAAUGGCCGUAAGGCUGAACCAACCAAGUAGCGUGCAGGAUGACGGCCCUAUGGGUUGUAAACUGCUUUUAAACGGGGAUAAAGUGAGCCACGUGUGGUUUAUUGCAGGUACCGUUUGAAUAAGGACCGGCUAAUUCCGUGCCAGCAGCCGCGGUAAUACGGAAGGUCCGGGCGUUAUCCGGAUUUACUGGGUUUAAAGGGAGCGUAGGCGGAGCGUCAAGCCAGCAGUGAAAUGUAGCGGCCCAACCGCUGCACUGCUGUUGGAACUGGCGCCCUUGAGUGCACACGAGGCAUGCGGAAUUUGUGGUGUAGCGGUGAAAUGCUUAGAUAUCACGCAGAACUCCGAUUGCGAAGGCAGCUUACUAAGCUACAACUGACACUGAAGCACGAAAGCGUGGGGAUCAAACAGGAUUAGAUACCCCUGUAGUCC